GAAGGUAGCAUAAUCAGUAGUCUUUUAAUUGAAGGCUUGUAUGAAUGGUUGGACGAAAUAUUAACUGUUUCAUUUAAAAUUAUUAUAGAACUUUAUUUUUUAGUCAAAAAGCUAAAAUAUAAUUAAAAGACGAGAAGACCCUAUAAAUCUUUAUAUUUUAUUAAUUUUAAUUAUAAAGAUUAAUUAAAUUAUAAUUUGUUAAAAUAUUUUAUUGGGGUGAUAUUAAAAUUUAAAAAACUUUUAAUUUUUUUUGUACAUUGAUUUAUGAAUAAAUGAUCCAUUAUUAAUGAUUAAAAAUUUAAGUUACUUUAGGGAUAACAGCGUAAUUUUUUUGGAGAGUUCAUAUUGAUAAAAAAGAUUGCGACCUCGAUGUUGGAUUAA
rnacentral:rRNA from 1 species